rnacentral:rRNA from 1 species
GACUGCUAUCGGAUGAUACUAAGCCAUGCGAGUCUUUGUAGUAAUACAAGGCAUACGGCUCAGUAACACGUAGUCAACCUACCCUAUGGACAAGAAUAAUCUCGGGAAACUGGGCAUAAUUCUUGAUAGAUCAUAAUGCCUGGAAUGGUUUAUGGUUAAAAUGAUUCGUCGCCAUAGGAUGGGACUGCGGCCUAUCAGCUUGUUGGUGAGGUAAUGGCCCACCAAGGCGAUUACAGGUACGGGCUCUGAGAGGAGAAGCCCGGAGAUGGGUACUGAGACACGGACCCAGGCCCUAUGGGGCGCAGCAGGCGAGAAAACUUUGCAAUGUGCGAAAGCACGACAAGGUUAAUCCGAGUGAUUUCUGCUAAAGAAAUCUUUUGCAAGUCAUAAAACCACUAGUGAAUAAGGGGUGGGCAAGUUCUGGUGUCAGCCGCCGCGGUAAAACCAGCACCUCAAGUGGUCAGGAGGAUUAUUGGGCCUAAAGCAUCCGUAGCCGGCUCUGUAAGUUUUCGGUUAAAUCCAUGUGCUCAACGCAUGGGCUGCCGAAAAUACUGCAUAGCUAGGGAGUGGGAGAGGUAGACGGUACUCAGUAGGAAGGGGUAAAAUCCUUUGAUCUAUUGAUGACCACCUGUGGCGAAGGCGGUCUACCAGAACACGUUCGACGGUGAGGGAUGAAAGCUGGGGGAGCAAACCGGAUUAGAUACCCGGGUAGUCCCAGCUGUAAACGAUGCAGACUCGAUGAUGCAUUGGCAUAAUAGCCAGUGCAGUGUCGCAGGGAAGCCGUUAAGUCUGCCGCCUGGGAAGUACGUACGCAAGUAUGAAACUUAAAGGAAUUGGCGGGGAGCACCACAAGGG